rnacentral:rRNA from 1 species
GGGAAAGGUUCCCUAGUAACGGCGAGUGAACCGGGAAGAGCUCAAAUUUGAAAUCUGGCGUCCUCAGGGCGUCCGAGUUGUAAUCUAUAGAGGCGUUUUCCGUGCCGGACCGUGUCCAAGUUCCUUGGAACAGGAUAUCAAAGAGGGUGACAAUCCCGUACUUGACACGACGACCGGUGCUCUGUGAUACGUCUUCUACGAGUCGAGUUGUUUGGGAAUGCAGCUCAAAAUGGGUGGUGAGUUCCAUCUAAAGCUAAAUAUUGGCGAGAGACCGAUAGCGAACAAGUACCGUGAGGGAAAGAUGAAAAGCACUUUGGAAAGAGAGUUAAACAGUACGUGAAAUUGUUGAAAGGGAAACGAUUGAAGUCAGUCGUGACCGAGAGGCUCAGCCGGUUCUGCCGGUGUAUUCCCCUCGGUCGGGUCAACAUCAGUUUUGUCCGGUGGAUAAGGGCGGUAGGAAGGUGGCACCCUCGGGUGUGUUAUAGCCUGCCGUCGCAUACAUCGGGUGAGACUGAGGAACGCAGCUCGCCUUUAUGGCCGGGGUUCGCCCACGUCCGAGCUUAGGAUGUUGACAUAAUGGCUUUAAACGACCCGUCUUGAAACCACGGACCAAU